CCAAUAGCGUAUAUUAAAGUUGUUGCAGUUAAAAAGCUCGUAGUUGAAUUUCGGGAUCAUCAGGUUGGUCGUGCCUUCGGUAUGUACUUGCUUCGGUGGCCCCUCCUUCUUGAAGAACCGUAAUGCCAUUAAUUUGGUGUUGCGGGGAAACAGGACUGUUACUUUGAAAAAAUUAGAGUGUUUAAAGCAGGCAAUCGCUUGAAUACAUUAGCAUGGAAUAAUGAAAUAGGACGUUCGAUCUUAUUUUGUUGGUUUCUAGGAUUGACGUAAUGAUUAAUAGGGAUAGUUGGGGGCAUUAGUAUUCAAUUGUCAGAGGUGAAAUUCUUGGAUUUAUUGAAGACUAACUACUGCGAAAGCAUUUGCCAAGGAUGUUUUCAUUAAUCAAGAACGAAAGUUAGGGGAUCGAAGACGAUCAGAUACCGUCGUAGUCUUAACCAUAAACUAUGCCGACUAGGGAUCGGAUGAUGUUAAUUUUUUAAUGACUCAUUCGGCGCCUUACG
rnacentral:rRNA from 1 species